rnacentral:rRNA from 1 species
UGCGGAGGAUGCAAGCGUUAUCCGGAAUCAUUGGGCGUAAAGCGUUCGUAGGUGGCUGUGCAAGUCUGCCGUUAAAGACAGUGGCUUAACCACUGAAAGGCGGUGGAAACUGCGCAGCUAGAGUGCGGUAGGGGUAGAGGGAAUUCCCGGUGUAGCGGUGAAAUGCGUAGAGAUCGGGAAGAACACCAGUGGCGAAAGCGCUCUACUGGGCCUGCACUGACACUGAGGGACGAAAGCUAGGGGAGCGAAUGGG